rnacentral:rRNA from 1 species
UACGAAGGGGGCUAGCGUUGUUCGGAAUUACUGGGCGUAAAGCGCACGUAGGCGGAUCGAUCAGUCAGGGGGUGAAAUCCCAGAGCUCAACUCUGGAACUGCCUUUGAUACUGUCGAUCUAGAGUAUGGAAGAGGUGAGUGGAAUUCCGAGUGUAGAGGUGAAAUUCGUAGAUAUUCGGAGGAACACCAGUGGCGAAGGCGGCUCACUGGUCCAUUACUGACGCUGAGGUGCGAAAG